GUUGUAUAGUCAAGUAAUUAAGUGCAUGUGGUGGAUGCCUUGGCAGUCAGAGGCGAUGAAAGACGUGAUAGCCUGCGAAAAGCUCCGGGGAGGCGGCAAAUAUCCUUUGAUCCGGAGAUGUCUGAAUGGGGGAACCCACCUACUUUAAGGUAGGUAUUGCAACAUGAAUACAUAGUGUUGCAAGGCGAACGAGGGGAAGUGAAACAUCUCAGUACCCUUAGGAAAAGAAAUCAAUUGAGAUUCCCUCAGUAGCGGCGAGCGAACGGGGAUCAGCCCAUUAAGUUAUGUGUGUUUUAGUGGAACGCUCUGGGAAGUGCGAACGUAGAGGGUGAUAUUCCCGUACACGAAAGGGCACACAUAAUGAUGACGAGUAGGGCGAGGCACGUGAAACCUUGUCUGAAUAUGGGGGGACCAUCCUCCAAGGCUAAAUACUCCUGACUGACCGAUAGUGAACCAGUACCGUGAGGGAAAGGCGAAAAGAACCCCUGUGAGGGGAGUGAAAUAGAUCCUGAAACCGCAUGCAUACAAGCAGUGGGAGCACCUUCGUGGUGUGACUGCGUACCUUUUGUAUAAUGGGUCAGCGACUUAUAUUCAGUAGCAAGGUUAACCGUAUAGGGGAGCCGUAGAGAAAUCGAGUCUUAAUAGGGCGUUUAGUUGCUGGGUAUAGACCCGAAACCAGGCGAUCUAUCCAUGAGCAGGUUGAAGGUUGGGUAACACUAACUGGAGGACCGAACCCACUGUCGUUGAAAAGCCAGGGGAUGACUUGUGGAUAGGGG
rnacentral:rRNA from 1 species